AUGGUCAACAUGGCGGCCGCAGCCCCCAGCCGCCGCCUCCUCCUGCUCCUCCUCGGCCUGAACCUCCUCGCUAGCUCCACCUCGACGGCGCCCUACGACCCUCCCACCGUGCCGGAGCUGAUGGAUCGAUUCGGCCUCCCGCGCGCUCUCCUCCCGAAAACCGCCCGGCGGUACCUCCUCCACUCCGACGGCUCCUUCGAGCUCUUCCUCGACGACGGCUGCGAGAUUGAGGCCGGGGGCUACCGCGUCCUGUACGACAUCAAGCUCUCCGGGUCCGUGGCGCCCGGGGCGGUCACGGGGCUCGAGGGCGUCCGCGUGCGCGUGCUGUUCGUCUGGAUCCCCGUCACCGGCGUCGAGGUUGGCGGCGGGGUCGUCACCCUCAGCGUCGGUCCCGUCAAGAAGUCGUUCCCUGCCGUUGGCUUCAAGGCCAGUCCGCUUUGCAGUACCGGCGCCGCCGUGGUGGAUGUAGCUUAG
rnacentral:rRNA from 1 species